rnacentral:rRNA from 1 species
CUGGCGGCGUGCCUAAUACAUGCAAGUCGAGCGAACGGACGAGAAGCUUGCUUCUCUGAUGUUAGCGGCGGACGGGUGAGUAACACGUGGAUAACCUACCUAUAAGACUGGGAUAACUUCGGGAAACCGGAGCUAAUACCGGAUAAUAUUUUGAACCGCAUGGUUCAAAAGUGAAAGACGGUCUUGCUGUCACUUAUAGAUGGAUCCGCGCUGCAUUAGCUAGUUGGUAAGGUAACGGCUUACCAAGGCAACGAUGCAUAGCCGACCUGAGAGGGUGAUCGGCCACACUGGAACUGAGACACGGUCCAGACUCCUACGGGAGGCAGCAGUAGGGAAUCUUCCGCAAUGGGCGAAAGCCUGACGGAGCAACGCCGCGUGAGUGAUGAAGGUCUUCGGAUCGUAAAACUCUGUUAUUAGGGAAGAACAUAUGUGUAAGUAACUGUGCACAUCUUGACGGUACCUAAUCAGAAAGCCACGGCUAACUACGUGCCAGCAGCCGCGGUAAUACGUAGGUGGCAAGCGUUAUCCGGAAUUAUUGGGCGUAAAGCGCGCGUAGGCGGUUUUUUAAGUCUGAUGUGAAAGCCCACGGCUCAACCGUGGAGGGUCAUAGGAAACUGGAAAACUUGAGUGCAGAAGAGGAAAGUGGAAUUCCAUGUGUAGCGGUGAAAUGCGCAGAGAUAUGGAGGAACACCAGUGGCGAAGGCGACUUUCUGGUCUGUAACUGACGCUGAUGUGCGAAAGCGUGGGGAUCAAACAGGAUUAGAUACCCUGGUAGUCC